AGAUUGAACGCUGGCGGCAGGCCUAACACAUGCAAGUCGAGCGGCAGCACGGGUACUUGUACCUGGUGGCGAGCGGCGGACGGGUGAGUAAUGCCUAGGAAUCUGCCUGGUAGUGGGGGAUAACGCUCGGAAACGGACGCUAAUACCGCAUACGUCCUACGGGAGAAAGCAGGGGACCUUCGGGCCUUGCGCUAUCAGAUGAGCCUAGGUCGGAUUAGCUAGUUGGUGGAAGUAGUGUCUCAACGAGGCGACGUACUACCGUAGU
rnacentral:rRNA from 1 species